rnacentral:tRNA from 1 species
GGGGAAUUAGCUCAAGUGGUAGAGCGCUCGCUUAGCAUGUGAGUGGUAACGGGAUCGAUACACGUAUUCUCCA